rnacentral:rRNA from 1 species
AGUGAACGCUGGCGGUAGGCCUAACACAUGCAAGUCGAACGGCAGCACAGUAAGAGCUUGCUCUUACGGGUGGCGAGUGGCGGACGGGUGAGGAAUACAUCGGAAUCUACUUUUUCGUGGGGGAUAACGUAGGGAAACUUACGCUAAUACCGCAUACGACCUACGGGUGAAAGCAGGGGAUCUUCGGACCUUGCGCGAUUGAAUGAGCCGAUGUCGGAUUAGCUAGUUGGCGGGGUAAAGGCCCACCAAGGCGACGAUCCGUAGCUGGUCUGAGAGGAUGAUCAGCCACACUGGAUCUGAGACACGGUCCUGACCCCUACGGGAGGCAGCAGUAGGGAAUAGUGGACAAGGGGCGCAAGCCUGAUCCAACCAUCCCGCGUGAGUGAAGAAGACAUUCGGGUUGUAAAGCCCUUUUGUUGGGAAAGAAAAGCAGCAGGUUUAUACCGCGCUGUACUGACGGUACACUAAGAAUAAGCACCGGCUAACUUCGUG